rnacentral:rRNA from 1 species
UACGAAGGGGGCGAGCGUUGUUCGGAAUUACUGGGCGUAAAGGGCGCGUAGGCGGCGACUCUAGUCAGAUGUGAAAGCCCUGGGCUCAACCUGGGAAGUGCAUUUGAUACUGCUCGGCUUGAGUGCGAGAGAGGAAAGCGGAAUUCCUGGUGUAGGGGUGAAAUCCGUAGAUAUCAGGAGGAAUACCGAUGGCGAAGGCAGCUUUCUGGCUCGUAACUGACACUGAGAUUCGAAAGCAUGGGUAGCAAACAGG